ACAGUCUUCUUCUGAAGCACUUCUAGGUCGAGAUAAGUAAUUUUAAGAAUUUACAUUUGGCAGAUAAUACUAAACUACGGUUGCAUAGAGAAGGCCUCCAAGCAUGCUGACAUUUCACGCCUGCUUCUGCAGCUGACUACCACAACUGGCACUACUUAGAGAUGUCAAGAUGUUUAGCUUCCAGACUAUUCUGAGUUACAUCCAGAAGACUCAACUAUGUCCGUGAGCUCACGCAGCACUAAAGAUGGUCUCCAUUCCAGGAACUGGGCCCCAUAAGUGAAACGUGUGCUAGCUGAUCUCAAACAAUCUGCUUGCUUACGGCUGCGAAUGAAGAACAACAUGCUUUCAGAUCCAACACAAACCAUGGUGUGCACCAACUCUCUCAAGACUCACCUGCAAGACCCAGAGCCUCGAACUUGGCAGUGGAGCCUCCUGUCAACAUCUGGUCCAAGCCAGGAGAGGAGGUAUAUCUGAAGAAAAGAUAGUACCAUAAAUGUUUCUGUUUGAUCUGCAGCAGGACAGAUCAAACUCACCACCAGGGACUUAAAAGAAUUGGCGAGAAGAGGAAGCCUGAUGACUAAUCAAUAUCAAAUUUGUCAGGAUCUAACCAUUAUUCAGGAGUUACUCCCGAUCUUGAUAAGGCUGUGUGUGUGAAUCAGAAAAUGCCACCCUCCUGAAGGUGGCAAAACUUGAAAUUACAGAGUGUGAAAUCUGCUCGAAUUGACAGGGAACUGACCUAGAAAUCAGGACUGGCGAAAUUCAGCUUUCUGAAAACUUAGCUAUCUGUUCUGAGAUCCUAGAUCAAAUGAAUGAAUUUGAUCACGGGACUGCAAAUCCUCAGCAACUGUAUCAAUGGAUUAAUCCCGUUUGAAACUACAUCAGCAUUUCCCCACUGGACUCCCUCAGAUUUCUUCCAAAGCUUUUAUUCAGAUUAGUGUCCAAGCCUGCUGGAGCAGAACAUGGCAGGUCUUGAGCUUUUCCUAUUUUGUGAGGGAGAGAGAAAAGGAAGAAGUAUUUCUUUAAAUCCUAAAAGGUACUUAAUUUUUUCUCCUGACAGGUUAGAAACAAGAAUAUAGUAUCAUGACUAAUGAGCGAACUAUGUUUCUGUAACAUUUGCAAAGUAUGUACAAUACACAUACAGCUUUUUCACUUUCACAUUCAGCAUAAAAAAUAACACAGAGAGGAAUGAAAACCAAGUCAACGUUUUAACAGCAUGACACGCUGACUCGGUAACAAACCACAUUUACGGUACUGGGAAAACUUCUCCGUGUUCUGGCCAACAAUGAUGCUUCCAAACUGUUUUCAUUUCCACUGAGGAAGUGUUAUUAUUUCCACUUCAGGAACCUUACUGAAGAAAUAGCAGAGAUAUCCCUUUUGGGGUUUGGAGUUUUUCAACAGCAGAAGAAAACUGCGCUAGUAUGAUACCAAUAGAUUUUGACUCCAUUUCUCUUUUAAUCCCUUCCCACGAGGUAUC
rnacentral:lncRNA from 1 species